ACCCCAGGGGAGCACCACGCGGUGCUGAGAGUGCGCUUGGCGCAGACCCUCGAACCUGAUCCGGGUAAUACCGGCGUAAGGGAGUCGG
rnacentral:ncRNA from 1 species